AUACCUUGGCCUCCCAAAGUGCUCGGAUUACAGGCAUGAGCCACUGUGUCUUUCCAGAAAAUUCUUUCCCAUAUUUGGUAUUUUUCUUUUGCUCACUCUCAUCAACACUUGUUUUGUUUUUGGUGGAGACAGAGAAGGGUAAACACUUCCUCGUCUUGAAUCAUAAAUCUUCUAAUACUCAAAGGCCAUUAGUAUAUUAGCCAUUUGGAGGAAGUGAUUUCAGUGCCUUUAACCUUUCCUUAUAGGAUUCAUUGUUAUGCCGUUAUUUGCCUUUCUACCUCUCCAGGAGCUUCUUAACCAUUCUGGGCCUCAGAUUCUUCACCUAUAAAAUGAGACUGGUGGACUAGAUCUCAAAGACCCCUUCCAGGUCUGAAGUCCUGUCAUGAAUGUCGGCAUCCUUUGAGAAAUCAUGAACAUGUACAAAUGAAAACAGUUUUCUGAACCAUGGAAGGCAAAACUGUAAUCAGCUAUGAAAAGAAGCUGGAGACAGACUGAGGUAGACAAGUUUUACAGUCAGUGAACACAGCAUGAAGUGGGCACAGCAAAGGCCUGAGAGUCAGGAAACUUAAUCUCUGCUUUGAUAACUCAUGUUUCCUAGGGCUGCUGUCACAAAGACCCACAAACCGUAUGGCUCGAACAACAGAAAUGCAUUGUCUCAUAGUUUUUGAGGCUAGACGUCUGAGAUUAAGGACCUUAGAUUUCUAUAUUUUAGAAAGAUGCUAAUGCAAAAAAAAGUUUCUGGAGUCAACUUGCAGUCAUCGAGAAAUCCAGGCAUUAGAAGUACUGCAUUUCUUCCUCCUGGACUCUUGGAUCAUUGAGAGUGUAUUCCAGCCAUUUCUGUUCCUGUACAUGACAUUAUUUGGGAGUCAUAAAGAUUACAAUGUUUGUUCAGAAACUCCAUAAAGCAUUGCAGUUGGCAAGUUAUUGGAAUUUUUCUCUUGCUAUUGGUGUCCAGACUGAGGGGUGCUGCACCUGAGGAUAAGCCCUCCAGGAGCCUCACUUGGACCCAAUGCAGAUGACUAGCCUUGAGCAUGAUGCCAUAAUUGGAUGAGGCACUUAUGAGGCCCUCGGUGUUCCUAGGGUGGGGCAAGCAUACUGUGCAUGCAAGAGGAAAAUAAAUAAUUGUGGUCAGAUGAAACAUGAUGGGAGAUUGGAAAAAAAAUGGCCAACUUUUUAUGCUGACUUUGUCAUCAAGAAGUGGAGUUUUGGGAGCAAAAUGGCUGACUUUUUUUGCUGACUUUCUCAUCAAGAUGUAGAGUUUUGGGAGCUCAAUGAUGAGAACACAUGGACACAUAGAGGGGGACAACACACACUGGGGCCUUUUGGAGGGUGGAGGGUGGGAGGCGGG